rnacentral:rRNA from 1 species
UACGGGGGGGGCAAGCGUUGUUCGGAAUUACUGGGCGUAAAGGGCUCGUAGGCGGCCAACUAAGUCAGACGUGAAAUCCCCAGGCUUAACCUGGGAACUGCGUCUGAUACUGGAUGGCUUGAAUUCGGGAGAGGGAUGCAGAAUUCCAGGUGUAGCGGUGAAAUGCGUAGAUAUCGGGAGGAACACCAGCGGCGAAGGCGGCACUCUGGGCUGGAACUGACGCUGAGGAGCGAAAGCGUGGGUAGCAAACAGG